GUCGCGAGGGUUCGGCCCUCGGCUGACGGCUCAGUAACACGCGGAUAAUCUGCCCUUAGGUGGAGGAUGAUCUCGGGAAACUGAGAAUAAUAUUCCAUAGAUUUAGGAUGCUGGAAUGCACUUAAAUUGAAAGCUUCGGCGCCUAAGGAUGAGUCUGCGGACUAUCAGGUUGUAGUCAGGGUAACGACCUGACUAGCCUACGACGGAUACGGGUUGUGAGAGCAAUAACCCGGAGAUGAUAUCUGAGACACGAUAUCAGGCCCUACGGGGCGCAGCAGGCGCGAAAACUUCGCAAUGUGCGAAAGCACGACGAGGGAAUCCCAAGUGCUGGCUCGUUAGAGUCAGCUGUUUUUAUGUCUAAAAAGCAUAGAGAGUAAGGGCUGGGUAAGACGGGUGCCAGCCGCCGCGGUAAUACCUGCAGCUCUAGUGGUGGCCGCUAUUAUUGGGCCUAAAACGUCCGUAGCCUGUUUAUUAAAUGCCUAGGUAAAUUGUGUGGCUUAACCAUACGAAUUCUGGGUAGACUGGUAAACUUGAGACUGGGAGAAGCUAGAGGUACUUCUGGGGU
rnacentral:rRNA from 1 species